UACGUAGGUGGCGAGCGUCAUCCGGAUUUACUGGGUGUAAAGGGCGUGUAGGCGGUUUUGUAAGUCGGAUGUGAAAUUCCCAAGCUUAACUUGGGCGCUGCAACCGAAACUGCGAAACUUGAGUACUGGAGAGGAUAGUGGAAUUCCUAGUGUAGCGGUAAAAUGCGUAGAUAUUAGGAGGAACAUCAGUGGCGAAGGCGACUAUCUGGACAGUAACUGACGCUGAGGCGCGAAAGCGUGGGGAGCAAACAGG
rnacentral:rRNA from 1 species